rnacentral:lncRNA from 1 species
GCCUAGCCUAAGAUGUCAGAGAUACUUUUGGCUAAUCCUAUCUCUAAGUCUUUUAGAUUCUACGGCAUUCAUAAUUUGCUCGUUAAUAUUUACACUCGCAUCCAUAUGCAAAUGGUAAAGACCAUCAAUCAAGAAAGCACGUGCAACAAUUUUAUUUUCAAAAUAAAUUGAACGUAUGUCUUUAAUGAGAUGAAAAUUAUAGUUACCCUGUGCCAGCAC